UGAGUACGAGACGCUAAGGCGUCGAAGUAGUGUAUGUCAUACUUCCAAGAAAAGCUUGCACUAUCAUAGAUAAAAAACGCCUGUACCAUAACCGACACAGGUGGGUAGGUAGAGUAUACUAAGGGGCGCGAGAUAACUCUCUCUAAGGAACUCGGCAAAAUAACUCCGUAACUUCGGGAGAAGGAGUGCCUUAUUAUUAAGGUUGCAAUAACAAGAUCCAAGCAACUGUUUAUCAAAAACACAGGUCUCCGCUAAGUCGUAAGACGAUGUAUGGGGGCUGACGCCUGCCCAGUGCCAGAAGGUUAAAGAAGUUGGUUAGCAAUUGCGAAGCUGAUAACUGAAGCCCUGGUGAACGGCGGCCGUAACAAUAACGGUCCUAAGGUAGCGAAAUUCCUUGUCGGGUAAGUUCCGACCCGCACGAAAGGCGUAAUGAUUUGGAUACUGUCUCGGAGAGGGGCUCGGUGAAAUAGACUUGUCUGUGAAGAUGCGGACUACCUGCACCAGGACAGAAAGACCCUAUGAAGCUUUACUGUAACUUGAAAUUGAAAUUGGACUUUAUUCGCGCAGUAUAGGUGGGAGGCGUUGAUUAUAAUCUUGCGGGAUUAUUGGAGCCAUCAGUGAGAUACCACUCUUGUAAUGUUAGAUUUCUAACUUUGAAUCAUUAUCUGGUCAAAGAACAGUUUCAGGCGGGCAGUUUGACUGGGGCGGUCGCCUCCUAAACGGUAACGGAGGCGUACAAAGGUUUCCUCUGAACGGUUAGAAAUCGUAUCUAGAGUGUAAAGGCAUAAGGAAGCUUGACUGUGAGACCUACAAGUCGAGCAGGGACGAAAGUCGGUCUUAGUGAUCUGACGGUACUGAGUGGAAAGGCCGUCACUCAACGGAUAAAAGUUACUCUAGGAUAACAGGCUGAUCUCCCCCAAGAGUUCACAUCGACGGGGAGGUUUGGCACCUCGAUGUCGGCUCAUCGCAUCCUGGGGCGGUAGUACGUCCCAAGGGUUGGGCUGUUCGCCCAUGAAAGCGGUACGCGAGCUGGGUUCAGAACGUCGUGAGACAGUUCGGUCCAUAUCCGGUGUAGGCGUUAGAAUAUUGAGAGGAGCCUUCUUUAGUACGAGAGGACCGAGAAGGACAUACCUCUGGCGUACCAGUUAUCGUGCCAACGGUAAACGCUGGGUAGCUAUGUAUGGAGUGGAUGACCGCUGAAAGCAUCUAAGUUGGAAGCCCACCUCAAGAUAAGUAUUCUC
rnacentral:rRNA from 1 species